rnacentral:rRNA from 1 species
GAUGAACGCUGACAGAAUGCUUAACACAUGCAAGUCAACUUGAACUUCGGUUUGGGUGGCGGACGGGUGAGUAACGCGUAAAGAACUUGCCUCACAGUUAGGGACAACAUUUGGAAACGAAUGCUAAUACCUGAUAUUAUGAUUUUAGGGCAUCCUAGAAUUAUGAAAGCUAUAUGCGCUGUGAGAGAGCUUUGCGUCCCAUUAGCUAGUUGGAGAGGUAACGGCUCACCAAGGCGAUGAUGGGUAGCCGGCCUGAGAGGGUGAACGGCCACAAGGGGACUGAGACACGGCCCUUACUCCUUCGGGAGGCAACAGUGGGGAAUAUUGGACAAUGGACCAAGAGUCUGAUCCAGCAAUUCUGUGUGCACGAUGAAGUUUUUCGGAAUGUAAAGUGCUUUCAGUUGGGAAGAAAAAAAUGACGAUACCAACAGAAGAAGUGACGGCUAAAUACGUG